ACGUUGUUCGGAAUUACUGGGCGUAAAGCGCGUGUAGGCGGCAAGGCAAGUCGGGUGUGAAAGCCCUGGGCUCAACCCAGGAAGUGCAUUCGAUACUGCCAAGCUAGAGUCCCGGAGAGGAUGGUGGAACUCUCGGUGUAGAGGUGAAAUUCGUAGAUAUCGAGAAGAACAUCGGUGGCGAAGGCGGCCAUCUGGACGGUGACUGACGCUGAGACGCGAAAGCGUG
rnacentral:rRNA from 1 species